AUGACGGAGUCGAGUGAGCUCUGUCAGCACCCGCGCCUGCAUCCGUUGGUACAGGUCUUCUCAGGCUUCUCGGAGCACGUCACAUCCCCCGGCUCUCACGGCAGGCUCGCGUCCCCGGGCUGCUCCCUUCGGCAGGCUCGCGUCCCCGGGCUGCUCCCCUCGGCAGGCUCGCGUCCCCGGGCUGCUCCCUUCGGCAGGCUCGCGUCCCCGGGCUGCUCCCCUCGGCAGGCUCGCGUCCCCGGGCUGCUCCCUUCGGCAGGCUCGCGUCCCCGGGCUGCUCCCUUCGGCAGGCUCGCGUCCCCGGGCUGCUCCCCUCGGCAGGCUCGCGUCCCCGGGCUGCUCCCCUCGGCAGGCUCGCGUCCCCGGGCUGCUCCCUUCGGCAGGCUCGCGUCCCCGGGCUGCUCCCUUCGGCAGGCUCGCGUCCCCGGGCUGCUCCCUUCGGCAGGCUCGCGUCCCCGGGCUGCUCCCUUCGGCAGGCUCGCGUCCCCGGGCUGCUCCCCUCGGCAGGCUCGCGUCCCCGGGCUGCUCCCCUCGGCAGGCUCGCGUCCCCGGGCUGCUCCCCUCGGCAGGCUCGCGUCCCCGGGCUGCUCCCUUCGGCAGGCUCGCGUCCCCGGGCUGCUCUCCUCGGCAGGCUCGCGUCCCCGGGCUGCUCCCCUCGGCAGGCUCGCGUCCCCGGGCUGCUCCCCUCGGCAGGCUCGCGUCCCCGGGCUGCUCCCCUCGGCAGGCUCGCGUCCCCGGGCUGCUCCCUUCGGCAGGCUCGCGUCCCCGGGCUGCUCUCCUCGGCAGGCUCGCGUCCCCGGGCUGCUCCCCUCGGCAGGCUCGCGUCCCCGGGCUGCUCUUUUAGGCAGGCUCGCGUCCCCGGGCUGCUCCCCUCGGCAGGCUCGCGUCCCCGGGCUGCUCCCUUCGGCAGGCUCGCGUCCCCGGGCUGCUCUCCUCGGCAGGCUCGCGUCCCCGGGCUGCUCCCCUCGGCAGGCUCGCGUCCCCGGGCUGCUCCCCUCGGCAGGCUCGCGUCCCCGGGCUGCUCCCCUCGGCAGGCUCGCGUCCCCGGGCUGCUCUUUUAGGCAGGCUCGCGUCCCCGGGCUGCUCCCCUCGGCAGGCUCGCGUCCCCGGGCUGCUCCCCUCGGCAGGCUCGCGUCCCCGGGCUGCUCCCUUCGGCAGGCUCGCGUCCCCGGGCUGCUCCCCUCGGCAGGCUCGCGUCCCCGGGCUGCUCUUUUAGGCAGGCUCGCGUCCCCGGGCUGCUCCCCUCGGCAGGCUCGCGUCCCCGGGCUGCUCUCCUCGGCAGGCUCGCGUCCCCGGGCUGCUCCCUUCGGCAGGCUCGCGUCCCAGGGCUGCUCUCUUCAAGCCGGGUUCGGCCAUUCCCCAGCUGAUGGCUCGUUCUGUUCUUCGCCACAACAAAACCGCCGCUCUGGGCUUCGCGCCCUCCGGCAGCCAUCUUGGCCUUUGUGGUCUCCAGGCGCGUGGAAAGGCCCUCAGAGCACCAGGAAGCCGAGCCAAAGGCGACCCGUGGACAAGCUGGCCACGUAA
rnacentral:lncRNA from 1 species